rnacentral:lncRNA from 1 species
GGCAAACCAAACUUGAGCAGGUUGUACUUUANCCGGCCACUAGAUAAAUUUAUCCUNANUAAGGAUGCUNUGCAUAGCAUCUCAGCCNCCCUUCNUACAACUUAACCCUGACUGUAAAAUCUAUUUUGACUUUCAAUUUUCAUUUGUUAAACCAAGUGACUCAAUUUCAUGGAAAAUACCAAAAAAUACAAUGCAAAUAGUACACAAUAUAGUUUGGUAUAUUAUUCAUGUACUAAUUCACUGGUGUGUAAUGAUUAUUGUGGAUCCACAAAUUAUUAAGCUGUCUAGGUACAUUAUUUACAUCAGACUUUGAAACUUGUAAAUACCAAAAGUAACGUAAGUCGAUUGUUUUAGAGUAAAGUCAUUAAACCUAUGAAACAAGUCAAAUAGACAUAACAGAGCAAUGCAAGUAGAACAUAUUUGCACUGAUUAUAGUGUAUGUGAUAUCUAUUUUGUGGGUUUUUUGACUUCACAUGUUUUAGGAGUAACGAAAGUCUAUUGGAGUCCAAAANCAGAAUCCUAAGUUCUUGUAGCGUAAUUCCUUACUGAGAAUAAAGCCUAGCAUCUGGAUUUUUCGUUUAAUGAAACUGGUUCUUAAAUGCUGUCACGGUACUUAGUAGUUGCAGGUCCCCACCCACUCCUGAGCCCUUUUUUCCCUUGAGUAAAACUAGAAAGAAAAUGAAAAAAUAAGUAACGGCAAUUCCGCGAUUAAGUUUGCUUCGCCAAAACAUCUGAAAAAGAUUGGGACGAUUUCCCCGGCUNGAGCUGGAUGUGAUUUUUUAAACUNCCGCCCUUUCUGUUGUGCCCUGCGCGCGCGCCGUCGUGUUUUCCCNCCUUUCUACNAGAAGCUAGAANCAGGCGUUAUGGGUAACNUUCAAUAACCAGNCCUUCUUUUCAUUGUUCAAACCAUGAAUCAUAAUUAAGUAUUUCAAAGAUAGCUGAAUAAUCAUCAAAAAUGACCAUUAGUGGGAUGUAGGUUUCAAAAUGUAAACUGAAAAGUGAACUUAUUGGCCAUACAAAAUCACGUUUCGCGCGCUCUCAAGAAAAUGAUCAUUUUCGCUUUAGUUUUAAAAUUAGAAUGUGGUGAAAAAAAUUGAACACAAUUUUUCGUUGUAUAUCCUCUUAUUAACACACUAUUUCUUGACGUAGUAAAAUNUUCAGAACCUUGCAGGGAACCCUUUAGCUGUGCUCGUUUUGAACAAUUAAUGACAUCAAAAGUGUUUCAAUUAAGAGAACAUACGACGAAAUACCGUGAGCAAUUUGUUAGCAAUACUGAGCCGGAGGUGCACCCAAACCGAAUUAGCGAUAGCAUUCAACGAUCAAUAAGAGUACUGAAACUGUGUUUCGAUAUACAUGUAGAUAAAAUACAGCAAAUCACAGUUAGAAUAGGUCAAGACAUUCUUAUAUCCAUUAUCCAGCAGACCUGUGAGUUAAUUGACAUGAAUUUUAACAAAGUUUUCUAAAAAGUAGUGGACAAACAGACAACGCAAAGUUUAUUUUGUUAAGAGCUAUGGAACAACUCUUAUUCUUUUGAAUAGGCCAUCCAAAAAGAGUGGAAACUAUAGCAGUAAACUAGUAUGAGGUAAAGAAACAGUUAUGCAAUGAGAUUUUUAACAAUCAAGAAUUUUAACACCACUCACUUCUUGGACGUCAAACCUUCAUGGGAGGUUGUAAAUUGUAAAGAACAACGUGAUGGUUUUGUUUUGUUGAUUCCAAAACAUUAAUUUGACUUAUGCAGAACACACCGUUUACGCACUCUUGAAAACUGUCCGAUAAGAUCAAUUAACUUAGAAAAAAUAUGUUUACCUCAAGCACAGAAAGCAAAUAAUCCCAUUCUCUGCUCUUUAACUAACUGCCAGUAACCCCAUUUAUACUCUUUUGAAUACUCUCCAGAUGUAGAUGACGUUGAAAAAUUAUUUGUUACUCUUCAACCACAGAAAACAGUAAUACAGGCUGCUUUCAGUUCACUCGGUACCGCGAAAGUACUACUAGCUGGAUGGAAUGAUGCAAAAGACAAAUCUUGCUCGCAUUUUAGUCUACUGUUUGGGCUUAAGCCUGGUAAAUUGUACUCCUUUGGAUGGAUGUAUUUCUAUUUCUAUAUUGAUUUGGUGUGUUUUCUUAUAGACUAUCUAUUUUUAUCAAAACAGUUUUCACGUACGCAUGCGAAACAUUGACUACACCUUCGUUUUCUGUUGCAUGGAAUUCAAACUCUCUUUAUUAACCUUCUAUAUUUUUAUGUCGUCGUCGUUCAUUCUCAUUAUUUCAAAAAGAUUUCAGUCCUUUUUUUCCUUUUGCUUCUUUUCUUUUCUUUUCUUUUUUUUCUUUUCUUUUUUUUAGCUUUUACUUAUUUUCGUGAAAGAGUGUUACGUUUUGAUUUACUGAGAUCAUGCUUUGAGGUAUUUGAGGUAAUGAACUUGGCAUGGUGUCCCGUUCUAUUAAAGCUAUAGUGAAAUAUACAGAGAAUGUACAUAGAUUUGCAUGAUAUCUUUCAAAUUACGUGGAAAAAAAACUUGUUACCAUGGAUACUCCGUACGCAAUUGCCCUAAUUUUUGCCUUAUAGAUCUAAAGUUGAAUUNAUAUAAUGUACAGAACAUGGGGCGCUUCUUUACUCACUCAUGAGAUGGAACACUCGAAAAACCUGAAAAANCAUAUCUUUCAGGCAAAGAGGGUAAUCUCAAGAGUCGCAGCCGUCUUUACAUUCUAUACCCCAUAAAUAGUUUAAUGCAUUACAAUGGACACAUUCAAGGUUGGCAAGUAAAUGUGCUUUGUUUUGAGCUAUCUUUUCUUUUAGUGAACAAAUAUUAACCCGGUUUAUUAUNUGUUAUUCUACANUAAUCUACAGCAUCAAAUUUGCUCGUGAAUCAACCACCGACUAUAUCGUGGUUGACAGAAAAUUGCCUCGCAUGACAAGUUUUACUUUGUGACUUUGGAUGAUUGCACCAGUUGAAAAUCAAGAUGACCACAGAACCAUGACAAGCUAUGCUGUACCAGGAUCACAUAAUGAGAUUCUUUUGAAUAAUCCCAAAUCGCUGCUCUUUUGGAUUGGAAGUGCACUGUGGCGAAAACAAAAGUGUCCAUCAAUGAUGGUAAUUGGCACCACAUCUGCGCAUCAUGGGACAAUUCCGCUGGUCAAACAGCACUUUACCAAGGCGGAGUACUACGCGUACAAGGGAAACUGAAGAAAGGUGAUAUUUUUCAAGAGUCUCAAAAGAAAAAUCCAAGAUGGCCGUCCUAAAGUCACGUGAUAUCGUUUCCAUGUCAACAAAAGCCCUAAAAAAUAAUUACUUACCAACCUAGACACACUUGCCAAGUUUGAUAGAAUUCUAUUGAAAGGCCAAUUUUUUGGAAUAAAUUUGGUUANUAUUCGCUAUUUUUCAAAGAGCCAUGCCUUAACUGCCCUGAGUAUAAGUUACAAUUCAUGAUGAAAAUGGAAAAAUGGAAAAAAGACCGUCUUUGCGAUCUGUUCAGAAAGGUGGUAUACAAUGUUUUGGAGUGAAACGGAUUAUCUUGCAUCAAUCUAGAAUAAUUUGUCCCAAUUUAAAGUGCGGCCAAAAAUCAUAAUGUUAAAAAAAGAAGAGCAGAAAAGAAAAAGAAGAAGAAGCAGGAGCGGAAAAAAA